GCUGGGCAUGGUGGCAUGUGCCUGUAGUCCCAGCUACUCAGGAGGCUGAGGCUGGAGGAUCUCUUGAGUCCAGGAGUUCUGGGCUGUAGUGUGCUAUGCUGAUCGGAUGUCCACACUAAGUUCGGCAUCACUAUGGUGACCUCCUGGGAGCAGGGGACCACCAGGUUGCCUAAGGAGGGGUAAACCAGCCCAGGUUGGAAACAGAGUAGGUCAAAACUCCCAUGCUGAUCAGUAGUGGGAUUACACCUGUGAAUAGCCUGCACUCCAUGCUGAUCAGUAGUGGGAUUGCACCUGUACUCCAGCCUGGGUAACAUAGUGAGACCCCAUCUCU
rnacentral:SRP_RNA from 1 species